rnacentral:rRNA from 1 species
UCCAGCAGCCAUAUCACCCUGCAACCCACUGGAGCUCAGCAGGUGUGAGCCUGGCCAGUACCUGGAGGGGAGACUCCUGGGAAAGCUGAGGCUGCUGGAA